GUGAACGUGCCAGAGUGGUUAUCGGGCAUGACUCGAAAUCAUGUGGGCUCUGCCCGCGCAGGUUCGAAUCCUGCCGUCCACG
rnacentral:tRNA from 1 species